UUGAUUUUCUUUUGUUAUGUGCUCCUUUCUACAAAUAUGAAACAUGUGUUUAUAUGGAACACUAAGUUACUUAUACGAAUGUUUGAAAUGUCGUAGUGUAAAAUCUGAUGAAAUAGGAUAGUGUGAAUUAGAAGCACCUAUGACGCCAAAUGUGAAGUGAUACAACAUUCAUUUGGUGAGGGUAUGGCUCUACGCCUCUACCUAUCAGACAUCCAUUGUUGGAGUUCCUUCAAGAUUCACACACUUUUCCUUCCUAUCGCCUUACUUGCUUGUUUAUCUUCCCUCCGUAUUCGACUAAAAUUCGUCAACUUCAAUUUUUAUACUGUAACCUCUCAAUUCAAAACUGAAAAUUAUCAAAUCAAAAUUAGGAACUUGAACACAAAUUUAAAGAAUUGCCAGUCAAAAUUUCAUCUUGUGAGGAUGGUUGGGGUAGCCAACUAUUUUUGCAUAUAAAAUCGAACUUAACAUAAUUAAAUGUGCUGACUUCAUCCUUAUUGUAGCAUGUCUUUCUUUUAAGUAGCAGUUUUUCAAGUGUUUGUAUUGCCUCCUCUAAUUCUCUUACUAAAAGUGAUUUUUUUAGUAGGUACCUGUGGCGAGGGUAACGAAUGGUACAGGCCUAGCGCUUGUCUCUCCUGCUCUCCAGUCUUGCAGACUAUAUAUACUGAUGACAAUACACUGAUACACUUGCAUUGAGGGACGUACACGCUCGUCAAGAUUGUCAGAAAACCAGGGAAAGAAAAGAGUUGAGAUCCAGUGGCAACUUAUUUUUAGAUGAUCCAGUGGCAACUUACACGGUCCCUUUUCUGUUUUGUUUAGCUGCGUGAUUGAGCUUAUAGCAGAAAACUGCACUGUAUGAGUAUACUGAUGUACUCCAGUAAAGUCAUGCAGAUCAAUGUGCCAUAUGAGUAUACUGCUGCAGUAAAAAAUGUGCAUGGUCCUCUACAUUGCGUCUGAGUAUACCGGAACUCACAGAAUUUGUUAGAACGGUCAGUCUCAAAACUGAACAUGCC
rnacentral:lncRNA from 1 species